AGGUCCCAAAGUCAUGGUUAAGUGGGAAACGAUGUGGGAAGGCCCAGACAGCCAGGAUGUUGGCUUAGAAGCAGCCAUCAUUUAAAGAAAGCGUAAUAGCUCACUGGUCGAGUCGGCCUGCGCGGAAGAUGUAACGGGGCUAAACCAUGCACCGAAGCUGCGGCAGCGACACUAUGUGUUGUUGGGUAGGGGAGCGUUCUGUAAGCCUGUGAAGGUGUGCUGUGAGGCAUGCUGGAGGUAUCAGAAGUGCGAAUGCUGACAUAAGUAACGAUAAAGCGGGUGAAAAGCCCGCUCGCCGGAAGACCAAGGGUUCCUGUCCAACGUUAAUCGGGGCAGGGUGAGUCGACCCCUAAGGCGAGGCCGAAAGGCGUAGUCGAUGGGAAACAGGUUAAUAUUCCUGUACUUGGUGUUACUGCGAAGGGGGGACGGAGAAGGCUAUGUUGGCCGGGCGACGGUUGUCCCGGUUUAAGCGUGUAGGCUGGUUUUCCAGGCAAAUCCGGAAAAUCAAGGCUGAGGCGUGAUGACGAGGCACUACGGUGCUGAAGCAACAAAUGCCCUGCUUCCAGGAAAAGCCUCUAAGCAUCAGGUAACAUCAAAUCGUACCCCAAACCGACACAGGUGGUCAGGUAGAGAAUACCAAGGCGCUUGAGAGAACUCGGGUGAAGGAACUAGGCAAAAUGGUGCCGUAACUUCGGGAGAAGGCACGCUGAUAUGUAGGUGAAGUCCCUUGCGGAUGGAGCUGAAAUCAGUCGAAGAUACCAGCUGGCUGCAACUGUUUAUUAAAAACACAGCACUGUGCAAACACGAAAGUGGACGUAUACGGUGUGACGCCUGCCCGGUGC
rnacentral:rRNA from 1 species